UAAAAAUUAGUUAAUAAAAUAAUAUAAGUUUGUCAAACUUAAGUAAUUGUUCAAAUAUUUUUAA
rnacentral:tRNA from 1 species